UGUCAGUAUAGUUUAACCAAAACAUUAAGCUGUGGAUUUAAAAAUAAGG
rnacentral:tRNA from 1 species